rnacentral:rRNA from 1 species
ACAUGCCUACAACAUAUCAUUAAUGCACCAGAUCCCAUUAGAGCUCUGUAGUUAAGCACACUCAGGCUAGAGUAGUUAUGGGAUGGGUGACCUCUCGGGAAGUCCUAGUGUUUUACAUGCC